GUGGGGAAUCUUGCGCAAUGGGCGAAAGCCUGACGCAGCCAUGCCGCGUGAAUGAUGAAGGUCUUAGGAUUGUAAAAUUCUUUCACCGGGGACGAUAAUGACGGUACCCGGAGAAGAAGCUCCGGCUAACUUCGUGCCAGCAGCCGCGGUAAUACGAAGGGGGCUAGCGUUGCUCGGAAUUACUGGGCGUAAAGGGCGCGUAGGCGGACAGCUUAGUCAGAGGUGAAAGCCCAGGGCUCAACCUUGGAAUUGCCUUUGAUACUGGCUGUCUUGAGUUUGGGAGAGGUGAGUGGAACUCCGCGUGUAGAGGUGAAAUGCGUAGAUAUUCGGAAGAACACCGGUGGCGAAGGCGACUCACUGGCCCAAUACUGACGCUGAGGCGCGAAAGCGUGGGGAGCAAACAGGAUUAGAAACCCGUGUAGUCC
rnacentral:rRNA from 1 species